UUUUUUUCCCCGGUCGGAAUUUAUGCCUUCUUGUUCCUUCCAUGUUUCUGUUGACCCAUCUAUUUUAUUUUCCCCUCAAAGUUAUUACUACCGCGGUUCUCUUGCGCCAUCUCUUUUCAAACUAUAAGAUCUUCCAUUAGGAUUUAAAUUUUCUCAAUGGAACAAGGAAGUCGCCAAGAACUGCCCCCGCCUGCCCCUUUCUACCGCUCCAUCUUCUCCGAGAUAGAGGAGGUUGGAUGGGAGCAUCUUGUUAGAUCGGAGGAAGACCUAUCCUCUCUCAGCUUUCGCAUUUUAGAUAAGAACGGGCGGGCACAUAUUCUCGAGAUAGCUUUGCCUCGAAACUAUCCUGAAAGUGCUCCUUCAAUUGCUGCGGAUGUACCUUAUAUCUGUGAUAUAGAGUGGUCAAAGAGCUCAAAAUUGAAGAAUAUUGUACAACAAUUCAGAGAGCAUUUGCAGAAGUUGCAGGAGUUUUGGUCUAUCAUGGAAGAUAUUGACAGAAAUCUGUGGAUUCUAGAUCCAAAACAGCCAUCUCUUGCCACAUCCUAUCGACAGAUUUGCCUCGGUAAUGACUGCUCUCUCUUGUUAAAUGUAUAUGCUCGCAAUGCAUGGUCUUUACCAGAGUGCCGUUUUUUCGGUCCAGAUUCAACUGUAAAUCUACUGAGAAACAACUGGAGGAAAAACAGCAGGAAAUGGACUAAGGAUAAACAUUUCCAUGAAAAUCUGGCUAUUCUUCUGGAGACUACAUUACCUAGACCUCACACUGUUAGCAAUAAAAAUGAUGAGCAAGUUGAUUGUGGAAUUUGUUAUGCUCAAUACCUGCCUGUUGGUAAGUUUGAUUGCCUCAUAGAAUAUCCAUUAAGUAGCUUGCCAAAUUAUGUGCUGAUUAACUUUAAUGUUCUUCAAGAUGACGAGUUUGGAGAUAAUAGUGGAAGUGCACCAGACUAUACUUGUGAAAAUCUGAGUUGCAGUAGAGCUUUUCAUACAGUGUGCCUCAGGGAUUGGCUGCGUUCAAUUACAACAACAAGGCAGUAUGUUGAAAAGAUUUCCUAAGCUGUGCUUUUUUUCCUGUUCAUUUUAUUGUUGAUGCCUUACUAACCGCUGGUAGCUCACCUGGUCCUUUGAUGUUCUAUUUGGGAACUGCCCUUAUUGUUCUGAACCAGUAGCAGUUAAAGUUAGUAAGUGCAGUUAAUAGAGUGCCAUAAUCUCGUCAUCUAUGAAACAUUAUUUUGGAGAAACACAGCAUAUGAUUACUGUUCUUUUCUUUGGUGGCCUUCAAAAUAUUCCAAAGUGGAAGUAUCUGAGCUUUAUCUUCUGGCAUGUCCAAUGUCUUGGUAUAUUAGUAGAAUUUUCUUUAUAUACGUAAAAGAUUAAAUAGACAAACUUUUUGAAGCAAUUAAUUGUGGAGUUCUUUAAACUUUGAGAAAGGACCUAUCUUGGUGUUUGAAGCUGGUCUUUUGGGAAAAUUUGACAGAAAUCACAGUAUGUUCUUUUUUUUUUUUUUUUUUUCUUUUUUUCUUUUGCCCUUUCGCACCAUUCGACGGUUUUCUCCGAUGCCAUCCCUUAGAUGCUAUAUAUUCUCAUAUCCAAUUCAUCUUCACAAUUUAGUCUUGAAGCAAUUGUUCUGUGCUCAGUUGACUUGGCCUUAGCUUAGGCAUGGUCAUCUAUUAAGCUGCGCCUAAGAUCUGCCUGAAUGAGCCAACGGUCUACUUGCAUCAGUGCUUGCAAUUAUCUUUGCAAGCUAGUAGGUAUUAGGAUUUGGCUCAUUUUAUAUGCUGUGAGCUUCAAAAUAUGUGUGGGAAUUAGUUUACUCUUCUGAUUGGUUUAAGCUUUGGAUAAGGUAAUUAUUGAGCUAAGCACUGGUUGUUGACAACAGCUUGUAAUGCAUACUGUGAAGGCAUACUUGCUCAUUCUAAUGCAUGUUUUUGCUUUGUA